GGGGGCGUAGCUCAGUUGGUUAGAGCGCUUGCUUGACAUGCAAGAGGUCACAGAUUCGAGUUCUGUCGUCCCCACCA
rnacentral:tRNA from 3 species